AGGCAGAGCCCAAUGUGUCCAGCUGGCUGAAGCCAACUCUCUGAGGAGUGUGUGUACUUCCCUGGAGGAGUGGGUAUGUGUUUUAGGUUUCAGAGAAUGACCCCCACGCUGGCCCUACACCAGCAUCAGCCAUCUCCAUCGAGCCCUGCCAGUGGCUAUGAAAAGAUCUGUAUAAGUGAAAAGUCCAUUCCUGUCUCAAGGUGCCAAAAAUAUAGGUAGGAGGAAAAGAUGUGAAUAGAAAUUUGAUAAUAAGGACUUAAAAGCUCAAACUAAAAUCUCCAGGUGACAAUGAAGAGGACAUCAGGAUGUUGUAAACUUCACUGCCCUGUGAGUGCUUCAGGCCAGGGUUGCUGUAGGAGUUCAGCG
rnacentral:lncRNA from 1 species